rnacentral:tRNA from 1 species
GGAGGUGUGGUUCAGUAGUAGAAUAUCUGUUUGGCAAACUGAAGGGCCUGAGUUCAAUCACCAGUACCCACA